UGCCAGCAGCCGCGUAAGACGAAGGUGGCUAGCGUUGUUCGGAAUCAUUGGGCUUAAAGAGCAUGUAGGCGGCCCAUUUAGCGUCAUGUGAAAUCCCUCGACUCAACCGAGGAACUGCAUGGCGAACUGGUGGGCUUGAGGCAAGUAGAGGCGUGUGGAACUCUUGGUGGAGCGGUGGAAUGCGUAGAUAUCAAGAGGAACGCCGGUGGCGAAGGCGACACGCUGGGCUUGUCCUGACGCUGAGAUGCGAAAGCCAGGGGAGCGAACGGGAUUAGAUACCCCGGUAGUCCUGGCCCUAAACGAUGUCCACUAGGUCGGAGGUUCUCUGACGGAGUUCCGGCCGAAACAAAAGCGUUAAGUGGACCGCCUGGGGAGUACGGUCGCAAGGCUAAAACUCAAAGGAAUUGACGGGGGCUCACACAAGCGGUGGAGCACGUUGCUUAAUUCGAUGCAACGCGAAGAACCUUAUCCUGGGCUUGACAUGUACGGAUGCCUACUGGGAAACCAGGUCGGUUGCCCUUCGGGGUGAAACGUACACAGGUGCUGCAUGGCUGUCGUCAGCUCGUGUCGUGAGAUGUUGGGUUAAGUCCCGUAACGAGCGAAACCCUUGUCGCUAGUUGCCAGCGGUUCGGCCGGGGACUCUAGCGAGACUGCCGGUGUUAAACCGGAGGAAGGUGGGGAUGACGUCAAGUCCUCAUGGCCUUUAUGCCCAGGGCUGCAAACGUGCUACAAUGACCGGAACAAACCGACGCGAGACCGCGAGGUGGAGCAAAUCGGAAAAAUCCGGCCCCAGUUCGGAUUGCAGUCUGCAACUCGACUGCAUGAAGUUG
rnacentral:rRNA from 1 species